GACAGAGGGUGCAAACGUUGUUCGGAAUUACUGGGCGUAAAGCGCGUGUAGGCGGCUAAGUAAGUCGGGCGUGAAAUCCCACGGCUCAACCGUGGAAGUGCACUCGAAACUGCGUAGCUAGAGUCCUGGAGAGGAAGGUGGAAUGCUUGGUGUAGAGGUGAAAUUCGUAGAUAUCAGGCGGAACACCGGUGGCGAAGGCGGCCUUCUGGACAGUGACUGACGCUGAGACGCGAAAGCGUGGGGAGCAAACAGG
rnacentral:rRNA from 1 species